GGUAUAUCUAUGCUGAUUUCUAC
rnacentral:siRNA from 1 species